CCCUUAUCUGGCCGGACUUGUAAAGGCGCUUGGUCCAAAACCAGGUGACCGGCAGCAUGAGCAGGGUGAGGAUGCCCUGGUAGAGGG
rnacentral:tRNA from 1 species